rnacentral:rRNA from 1 species
GGAGGGUGCAAGCGUUAAUCGGAAUUACUGGGCGUAAAGCGCGCGUAGGUGGUUUGUUAAGUGGAAUGUGAAAGCCCUGGGCUCAACCUAGGAAUUGCAUCCCAAACUGGCAAACUAGAGUACAAGAGAGGGGUGUGGAAUUUCCUGUGUAGCGGUGAAAUGCGUAGAUAUAGGAAGGAACAUCAGUGGCGAAGGCGACGCCUGGCUUGAUACUGACACUGAGGUGCGAAACGGUGGGGAGCAAACAGGAUUAGAUACCCUGGUAGUCCACGCCGUAAACGAUGUCUACUAGCCGUUGGGGACUUGAUCCCUUAGUGGCCGAACGUAACGCGAUAAGUAGACCGCCUUGGGAGUACGGUCGCAAGAUUAAAACUCAAAUGAAUUGACGGGGCCGCACAAGCGUGGAGCAUGUGGUUUAAUUCGACGCAACGGCAAAACCCUUA